rnacentral:pre_miRNA from 1 species
UAUUAAAAAUUAUAUUAUUUGUAUUGUUAAAAAUUAACGUGGCUAAUGUAAUAAUUAAACAAUAACACGCGAUGUGUCACAUGAACCUCAUGCUGACAUAUAAAGAUUAAUUUUUAAUGAUAAAAAUAAAUAGAAUUUUUAAUA